CGUGCGGCAGCUAUACAUGCAAGUCGAGCGGACAGAAGGGAGCUUGCUCCCGGAUGUUAGCGGCGGACGGGUGAGUAACACGUGGGUAACCUGCCUGUAAGACUGGGAUAACUCCGGGAAACCGGAGCUAAUACCGGAUAGUUCCUUGAACCGCAUGGUUCAAGGAUGAAAGACGGUUUCGGCUGUCACUUACAGAUGGACCCGCGGCGCAUUAGCUAGUUGGUGGGGUAAUGGCUCACCAAGGCGACGAUGCGUAGCCGACCUGAGAGGGUGAUCGGCCACACUGGGACUGAGACACGGCCCAGACUCCUACGGGAGGCAGCAGUAGGGAAUCUUCCGCAAUGGACGAAAGUCUGACGGAGCAACGCCGCGUGAGUGAUGAAGGUUUUCGGAUCGUAAAGCUCUGUUGUUAGGGAAGAACAAGUGCGAGAGUAACUGCUCGCACCUUGACGGUACCUAACCAGAAAGCCACGGCUAACUACGUGCCAGCAGCCGCGGUAAUACGUAGGUGGCAAGCGUUGUCCGGAAUUAUUGGGCGUAAAGGGCUCGCAGGCGGUUUCUUAAGUCUGAUGUGAAAGCCCCCGGCUCAACCGGGGAGGGUCAUUGGAAACUGGGAAACUUGAGUGCAGAAGAGGAGAGUGGAAUUCCACGUGUAGCGGUGAAAUGCGUAGAGAUGUGGAGGAACACCAGUGGCGAAGGCGACUCUCUGGUCUGUAACUGACGCUGAGGAGCGAAAGCGUGGGGAGCGAACAGGAUUAGAUACCCUGGUAGUCCACGCCGUAAACGAUGAGUGCUAAGUGUUAGGGGGUUUCCGCCCCUUAGUGCUGCAGCUAACGCAUUAAGCACUCCGCCUGGGGAGUACGGUCGCAAGACUGAAACUCAAAGGAAUUGACGGGGGCCCGCACAAGCGGUGGAGCAUGUGGUUUAAUUCGAAGCAACGCGAAGAACCUUACCAGGUCUUGACAUCCUCUGACAACCCUAGAGAUAGGGCUUUCCCUUUCGGGGACAGAGUGACAGUGUGCAUGAUUGUCGUCAGCUCGUGUCGUGAGAUGGUUGGGUUAAGUCCCGCACGAGCGCACCUUUGAUCUUAGUUGCCAGCAUCAGUGGUACUCUUAGUGACUGCCGAUGACCAAACCGGAAGGAAAGUUUG
rnacentral:rRNA from 1 species